UUGAGGAAGACGUCAGUGUUUCAAUGGAGAAGGUCAUUACCUGGGUUAUGAAAUAGCCCUGGGGACAAACUGUCUAGUGGAAGUGGGACUGUGUUCUCCUGAUGGUGUAUUGUUUCACCUCUGCUGAAAAGAGUGGGGUUGCUUCAGCAUAAUGGUAGAGUAAGUGGAAUCAUGAGCAAAGUCAGGAGUGUGGGCAUUUCUCACUUUCUUCUUGGCAUUUUUCAUCUGUGUGUCCUGCUUGUGCCUGGCAGCAGCUGCAGCAGAAUGGCCCCUUCAUACAGCUCAGCUUUCUCCAGGUUCCAGCCAGAGAUAUGCAAAAUGCUUGUAAUGAAGCCGCAAGCCAUGUGAAAACAGCAACAAGCUAUUGUAGCAAUGAGUGGCUCCUGCUUCAAGUAGAAGAAAAAGAAGAGAGGGCAUCCUCACGGAGAGGCACAAAUGAGCUGGAUCCCUCUUCAUUUGGAAUAAAGCGGUUACACUGAGAUUUACUGACAGAGUAUGAGGGGGAUGAACUACUUGGAAUGCUGAGCCUUCCUCGGUCUCCUGACCAGAACCAGGAACAUCCAGGAGAAACAGCUCUGGGUAUGGGUUAUGAAUGGAUAACCCCUACGAUCCUGUUCAAGGGAGGGAGACAAACAGGUCUACUUCUUGAAGCUGUUCCAUCAGGAUUGGGUUUUGUAUGCUCAGGGAACCCUAAGGAUGCAUCUUUACACUCUGUUGUGUUACCAUUGCUAUGUAGUCUGUCUGAGACUGAAGGUGCACUUCAGCAGCUCUAGUAAGAAGAUUCCAAGCUACUUCAGACUUUCUUACUUAACUGAUUAUCCCUUCACUUAUCCAAGAGAUGCUGAAUAGCUAAUAAAGAUUUCUUCAGAUGGAUUUCUUCAGCACUUGCCGCAGCAGCUGCCAUCACUGACAUACAGCACAGAAUGCAGAAGGAAUUAAAAAAAAA